GCUCCCUUCUUCCCAGGAUAAAUCUGAAUGGGGGAAGGGAUAUGCUACGUCAGUCUUGCAUCCACCCACAUCCAUAUCCGAGACUCUGGGGCAGAGGGCAGAAUAAGCCAUAUGAGGCAUGGAUGCCUUUCUGACUUCCCAGUUCCUGGCUCAGUGGCUGGCAUACAAGAGGAAUUUAAGAAAAGACUCUUGGACAAAUGAACAAGGCCUUCUCCCAUGCCAGGAGGAAGAAAUUCACAGGCAGCUACAGCUCUACGUACCUGACCACAACCUGCCCCGCCUCAUCUUCACCAGGAUCACAGAGUCUUUUCUCCGGAUGGGAAAACUGAAGCUCGGAGAGGAUCAAGACACAAGCGGAAGGCAGGGCAGGGCUGACUGCCUACGUCAGGUGUCUUGGCUCUCUGCGUUCGGAGUUUGGCCCCCAGCAGGAAGCCCUUGGACAUAGUUCUCUGUGCACGUGGCGGGUGGACCAACACUGUGCGGAGAGGGAGCAGACGAGAGAUGAGUGCUAGAUUUGUACUGGGCCCUAGAACUCUCCACCAGGCAUUAUGGGGAUUUGCCCAGCGGCCCAUGCUGUUUGUGCCACAUCCACUAUUUCCCCAGUUAAUUGACCAUGAAGGUUCUUGAGGGCAGAGCUGCGGCCAGUGAUCCUGCGUGUGGAGCAGGCGAUAGGCUUUGUGGGAGUGUAUGUGUUCCAUGGCGUGUGCCUGCCCCGCCCACAGGGCCCUCAGUUUGUGAGUCAGGGGCUGUGUCCCCCACACUGCAGGCACUCCGGGCAAGCUGGUGCCCUCAAAGACUCAAAGUAAGCCUGCCCUCCUAGGGCGAAUUUGAGAUGAAUGCAGAAGGUGACACGAGGCAGCUAUUUAAGAACGAAGAGAAUUUAUAUGUGCCAACAAGAAAAAAUGAUUUUUAAUUGAAAAAAAGCAAACAGAAAAGCAGUAUGUGUGUUAAGAUCCAAUUUGUGUGUUUUAUAAUUUUUUUUAAUGUUUAUUUAUUUUUGAGACAGAGAGAGACAGAGCAUGAACAAGGGAGGGGCAGAGAGAGAGGGGGAC
rnacentral:lncRNA from 1 species